rnacentral:rRNA from 1 species
AGCGAACGCUGGCGGCAGGCCUAACACAUGCGAGUCGAGCGCCCCGCAAGGGGAGCGGCAGACGGGAGAGUAACACGUGGGAACGUACCCUUCAGUUCUGAACAACCCAGGGAAACUUGGGCUAAUACCGAAUACGUCCGUAAGGAGAAAGAUUUAUCGCUGAAGGAUCGGCCCGCGUCUGAUUAGCUAGUUGGUGAGGUAACGGCUCACCAAGGCGACGAUCAGUAGCUGGUCUGAGAGGAUUAUCAGCCUCACUGGGACUGAGACACGGCCCAGACUCCUACGGGAGGCAGCAGUGGGGAAUAUUGGACAAUGGGCGCAAGCCUGAUCCAGCCAUGCCGCGUGGAUGAUGAAGGCCCUAGGGUUGUAAAGUCCUUUUAACGGGGAAGAUAAGGACGGUACCCGUAGAAUAAGCCCCGGCUAACUUCGUGCCAGCAGCCGCCGUAA